GGCAAACUCCCUUUACCCUCACCCACUGCAACUUUUUUUCUAUCACCACCACUUAAUCCCACAACAUCCUCAAUAUAAGUUGAGGUCACAUUAUAGUUUGUGGAAUCUUGGAUACUCAAAACAGUUCCAUUCCCUGAUUCUUGAACAAGAAAGCUUUCAUUUUUUACCUUUUCAGAGACAUGGGGAUUUCCUAAAAUUUCCCCAAAAUUGGAAAAUAUCCCACUUUCAUCAAUUUUAUUGGUACUAAAGUUUCCACUGUGUGAAGCUUUGGAACUCAAACUAACACUAGCAUUAGAGAAAGCGAAAGGCCA
rnacentral:misc_RNA from 1 species